CUGUCAUGGCCCUCCCCCUCCUGUAAGUAAAUUAUAAAUGCCCCUAUUAAACAGGCACAGUUUACCCCCAGGAUAAACCAAAAGGAUAUCAACAUUCAGAUAAUAGUGGUUAUUUAAUUGUUCACCUUUCUGCUAUACAGUACGAUUUUGUACUGUAAUAUGAUUUUUGUCUUUAAACUUUACCCUGUACCCAAGGGCUUUGUCAAUAUUUUGUUCUGUCAACCUCAUGGGAAGCAGAGGAAAGUGAAUAAGUUAUAAGUGCAAGGGGCAUAAUAUAGAUAUUUACACUUUCCAUUAAUGGCAUCUUUCCAACAACAAAAAUAUGAACAAAAUAUAUAUAAUAAACAUUUAACAAUUUGAAUACUAACUAGUGACUACAGUUCAUACAAUGAGACAGUCAACUUCUGUGAAAAUAUAAACAACCACGCGAUAUUGACCAAGUUACAAGUCCACAUAAUUUGAUUCUUUCAAUUGAUUUUACACGAGCGACACUGGUCGAAUAGCAGCUGAUCCAAUCACAGAUCCAAUGUAAUAAAUAUAUACGUGGAAUAUCAUAUUGCAUGAGAAUUCCUUUAGAAAAUUCGACAAUAUAUAAUAAUUAUUAUAUUAUUAUAUUUGAGGUAAAAAUACCAAGUCCAAAAUCACGAACAAAUGUACACCAAACUGUUCAGUGUUGACUCCUUGGCUUAGAACUUGCAAAUCACACCUUCCCAACAUUACAUAAGGCAAUAGCACCUGUAAUUUUCCAUCAAAAUCUUCUUUAAUACAAUUUUUACUGUAAAGUCUGUAAAAUACUCACAAAUUUAUAUUAAAAAUUUAACAAAAAAUUAUCGAAGUAAACUAGAGCCCACUCCCAACGCGAAGGACAAAUCAGGACAGUUUGCGAAUUUUGCUAGGCCUUCUCCAUUCUCGUACCCAGAGCCCUUCUUACGUGCGUUCGACCGAGCACGAUGAG